GGGAUGAGAUUCUUGUGAGGGGGGGAGACUGUAACAUCCUGUAUUUUGUGAGAUGUUUGUAUUUGCAAAAAUAUGGGUUUCAAAAUUUUUGUUGUUGGUGGAGCAAAAAUUCCAAACUAUAAGAGUGACUUCAUUAUAUCUCUUCCCAAAAUUCCUAGGUUAAUUUGAAUUAAAUUGAAAACCUAGGAUUGAAUAAUUGUUAGUGUGUCAUUUGGAUUUUAUUUGGUGUUGGAAUUUAAAUGAGUGAUUACAAAUUUGAAUUAUAGAUUCAAAUUUGAAUUAAACUUGAACUCUCUAACUACCCAAACCAACCUGGACCGAAAUCCCCUUAGCCCACUAACACCACCGGCCCGCUCCACUCACGAAACCAACCAGGCUGGGGGCCCAUUAAGCUAGCCGGCCCAGCCCGCUAACACCGGUCCCCUUCCAGACUCCUCCACGC
rnacentral:lncRNA from 1 species